GACGAACGCUGGCGGCGUGCUUAACACAUGCAAGUCGAACGGAAAGGCCUGCUUUUCCUUGUGUCUUGCGGGUACUCGAGUGGCGAACGGGCGUGUAUCACGUGAGUUUUCUUCUCCCAUCUUUGGUAUAAGCCUGGGAUACUGGGGCUUAUUACCGCUUGCACCGUGGGGUGGGUCGUGUGGUUGAGACCGUUGUUGUAGUGGUUGCGGAUUAGCACGCGGCCUAUCAGCUUGUUGGUGGGGAAAUGGCUGACCGGGGCGGCGACGGGUAGCCGGCCUGGGAGAGUCGACGGGAACAUUGGGACUGAGAUACGGCCCAGACGCCUACGGGAGGAAGCAGUGGGGAAGAAUACGCGAUGAGCGGAAGCCUGAUGCAGCGACGCCGCGUGGGGGAUGACGGCCUUCGGGUGGUAAACUCCUGGCGACCGCGAGGAAGCCACCUGGAUGGAAGGGUGGUGACGGUAGUGGUAGAAGAAGCACCGGCUAACUACGUG
rnacentral:rRNA from 1 species